GCCUGGCUGGCUCAGUCAGCAGAGCAUGUGACUCCUGAUCUCAGAGUUGUGAGUUCGAGACCCACAUUGGGUA
rnacentral:tRNA from 1 species